UCCAGCCUCCUCAUUGGUUGUUUGCUGUUUUGGGUCCGCCUCCUCAUUGAGUGGCACCUCCUCCUUGACCGGCUCCUCCGUUCUAGGUGCACUGCCUGCGGUAUCCGAUUCUUCCUUGAUGUCUGUGGGCUUGCUGUCUGUGGGAUUGCUGUCUGCUUCAUCAGCUGUUGAAAGGCCUUGUUGUUCUGUAAAUGUAGCUGUCUGCUGAGGUUCUUCAGAUUUCCAGAUUGUACACAGGCAAGUUUGGAUCAGUGUAAAAGGAGAAAGAUUUCACAAGUGAGAAAAUGCAUACAAGUAUACCAGAUGAAGAAUCAUGUCCAGGACAUCAACUCUUCUGAUAAACUCUAAAGUUGGACGCUGCACAGGCUCUUAUUAUCAUGAUCAACUCUAUAGGUGGACGCUGUACAAGCUCUUAUUAUCAUGAUCAACACUAACAGAUUGAGAGCUGCCUGGUCAUCAGUUUUUUAUCAAGUUUAGUUCAGUAACACAGGUCAAUAUUAAUACAUUGGUAUUCAAACAAAACAAUAUUGUGAUUCAGAAUUCACUUUUGAUACAUUCACCAAAAAUAUGAGAAAUGGAUUUCUUUGUACCUUUUUGUGUUGUUAUUUCAUUUGGUGUUGGUUGAUAAUUCAGAAAAUGUAUAUAACAUAUUGUAGCAUUCCAACAAACAAAGUAAUAGCUAUAGAACAAUAUACAGAUCAUAAAACAGUAUUGUGUCUAUAGGAUCUGACCUUAGACAUGUUCUCUAUAUUGAUAUUAAUAAAUAUUAUGUUUUCAUAAAAAUCACAGUUCACAAUUUCAAGAUUCAUUUAUUAUUUGACAUUUGAUAGCCACCUUACUAGAAAUGAGAGAACAGACCCCUGUGUACAAUUCA